UGGAUCCAGACUUUGAUUAUGGCUCAGGAUGAACGCUAGCUACAGGCUUAACACAUGCAAGUCGAGGGGCAGCAUGGACUCAGCUUUGCUGAGUUUGAUGGCGACCGGCGCACGGGUGAGUAACGCGUAUCCAACCUGCCCUUUACUCCGGGAUAGUCUCCUGAAAGGGAGUUUAAUACCGGAUGUGUUUGUUUUUCCGCAUGGGAGCGACAAAUAAAGAUUAAUUGGUAAAGGAUGGGGAUGCGUCCCAUUAGCUUGUUGGCGGGGUAACGGCCCACCAAGGCAACGAUGGGUAGGGGUUCUGAGAGGAGGGUCCCCCACAUUGGAACUGAGACACGGUCCAAACUCCUACGGGAGGCAGCAGUGAGGAAUAUUGGUCAAUGGGCGAGAGCCUGAACCAGCCAAGUAGCGUGAAGGACGACGGCCCUACGGGUUGUAAACUUCUUUUAUAAGGGAAUAAAGUUCGCCACGUGUGGUGUUUUGUAUGUACCUUAUGAAUAAGCAUCGGCUAAUUCCGUGCCAGCAGCCGCGGUAAUACGGAAGAUGCGAGCGUUAUCCGGAUUUAUUGGGUUUAAAGGGAGCGUAGGCGGGCUUUUAAGUCAGCGGUCAAAUGCCACGGCUCAACCGUGGCCAGCCGUUGAAACUGUAAGCCUUGAGUCUGCACAGGGCACAUGGAAUUCGUGGUGUAGCGGUGAAAUGCUUAGAUAUCACGAAGAACUCCGAUCGCGAAGGCAUUGUGCCGGGGCAGCACUGACGCUGAGGCUCGAAAGUGCGGGUAUCAAACAGGAUUAGAUACCCUGGUAGUCCGCACGGUAAACGAUGAAUGCUCGCUAUGGGCGAUAUAUUGUCCGUGGCCAAGCGAAAGCGUUAAGCAUUCCACCUGGGGAGUACGCCGGCAACGGUGCAACUCAAAGGAAUUGACGGA
rnacentral:rRNA from 1 species